AAACUUUUGAUGGCGACCGGCGCACGGGUGAGUAACACGUAUCCAACCUGCCUCAUACUCGGGGAUAGCCUUUCGAAAGAAAGAUUAAUACCCGAUGUCAUAGUCCUACCGCAUGAUGGGAUUAUUAAAGAAUUUCGGUAUGGGAUGGGGAUGCGUUCCAUUAGUUAGUUGGCGGGGUAACGGCCCACCAAGACAACGAUGGAUAGGGGGUUCUGAGAGGAAGGUCCCCCACAUUGGAACUGAGACACGGUCCAAACUCCUACGGAAGGCAGCAG
rnacentral:rRNA from 1 species